rnacentral:rRNA from 1 species
UACGUAGGGGGCGAGCGUUGUCCGGAAUUAUUGGGCGUAAAGCGUGCGUAGGCGGCUUUUUAAGUCGGAUGUGAAAUCCCUGAGCUUAACUUAGGAAUUGCAUUCGAUACUGGGAAGCUAGAGUAUGGGAGAGGAUGGUAGAAUUCCAGGUGUAGCGGUGAAAUGCGUAGAGAUCUGGAGGAAUACCGAUGGCGAAGGCAGCCAUCUGGCCUAAUACUGACGCUGAGGUACGAAAGCAUGGGGAGCAAACAGG